rnacentral:rRNA from 1 species
UACGGAGGGAGCUAGCGUUGUUCGGAAUUACUGGGCGUAAAGCGCGCGUAGGCGGUUUAUCAAGUCAGAGGUGACAUCCCGGGGCUCAACCCCGGAACUGCCUUUGAAACUAGUAGACUAGAAUCUUGGAGAGGGCAGUGGAAUUCCGAGUGUAGAGGUGAAAGUCGUAGAUAGUCGGAAGAACACCAGUGGCGAAGGCGGCUUCCUGGACUAAAACUGACACUGAGGCACGAAAGCGUGGGUAGCAAACAGG